UGUGAUCACAAUUAAUUUUUAUUUAUUAUUUUUUGUAUUUGAAAAAUGUGAUCACAAAUUUUUUAUAUGCAAGAUAUAGAUUAAAAAUAAAUGGAACAAAAAUGUUAAUUUUAUAAAUCUUCAACCCUUAAAAUGUUUGACCUUGUUCCCUUAUGAACAGUAGCAACAUGUGCCAAUUGCAUGUGUGAGAAUGCUGACGUGGCAUUUUCUCCUCCCUUCAUUUCUUAACUAUCUUUUCAGUUUUCACUUUCCUCUUUCUUGAUAUCUCUUCUCUGAUAUUUUCUGUUUUUAAUCUUUCCCUCUCCCUCUUCUCCUCUAUUUGCAUUCUCUCUCCACAAUAGUGGUCAAUGACAAUGGCUUUACUUCUUCUCAAAAUGAAGGCCGGUCGAUCACCGAACCUUAUUUUCUCGUACAAAAGGUUGAAGAUAACUUGAUAAAGUGAUACCAACAAGAAUGGAGGUAACAAAGCUUUUAAUGAGGAAAAGCCUGCAGCCUGCUCCGGUGCUCCUACUCACAUUAGUCUCAAGUUUAAAGUUUAGCUUUCCUUUCCCUCUCUUCCUCCGACCUUCAAAUCUUUCUCUCCUUGGAAACUGAAAUUGAUAUACAUUAUAACUCUUUCUCCUCAAAAUUCUCUCUACAAAUUCAACAAUGGUGGCGCCACAAUCCACAGUAAGAGCACUGCCGGCAGAAGGGUUGAGAUGCUCAGAGGGUUGAUUCUGGUUCUCUUGUCUAUCUUUAUGCUGUCCUUGAGUAUGUCGCUGCUGAGGUGAAUGGGUGAAUCAACAGGUUCCGGAAAUGGCGAGAAACACAGAGAGAGACAAUAAGACUGAAGUUUGCUUUCAUCAUUAUUUGAAAUGCCAAGUUUGUAAAUUUUUUUAACUAAAUGCAUUUGCUCUAUUUCCAGGGCAGUUCUCAAGAUACUUCCAUAGAAGUUGCUGUUGCUGUUAAGAAUUUUCAGGUAACACGUGUGGCUGAAUCCUGAUAUUUAUGACUUCCGAUAUCUUUAUUGUGCCAUUUUUCAUUUUAUCUUGUGAACGAGUUUCAAUAUGUCAUGUCAAAGUGUAGAGAACCAAUUUUAGAGUAUUAUAAAACAAUUUUGUUCGAACAAAAGUUUUUGAAUCAAAAGUUUUGAAUUAGGUUAUUUAGCUGCCAUAUUAGUACAGGAAAGAAAAAUUAUGCUUUGAUUAGCUUAAUUAUCAAAGCAAGCAUAAGCUCUAAUUAGUUUUUGUUUGGGCAAAUUCUUGGGAAAGCCGAGUUCUUGAAUCCCAGAGGAAGUGUCAAGGACAAGAUUGCUGUGAAAAUCAUACAAGAGGGCUAGGGAUUGCCCAUCGAGUGGUGGUGGCAGGUAUCCUGCAUAAUCUGAAUUUGGUAGCUUUGGUCUUCAGGGAGAUUGUGAUUGUAGCUGUUACUAUGAGCGCGCUGUUGGGGGCGCUAUGAUAGUAGAGACCAUUUGGAUAACAUAGAUGGGUAUGUGUUCCUGUGAUCGUUGCAGCACUGAAAGGUACCCCCACUUGCUGGUGAUUGUUAUAGAAGCAAUAAAUAUAUGGAUUAAUGCCCCUAAAAUGGAUGUGGUCGGAAUAGAGAUAUGGAGGCAUAAGAGGUGGUGAUAGGUAUGCUGCUAGUGGACCAACAAGAUAUGACGAAGAAAUCUUUAGAGACUGGGCUUUGGGAGAAGCAAAUGGAGUUGAUAUCAUUGUUGGUUUUGCUCCUCUAAUGCUGCGCAAACUGUUGUUUAUCUUACAAAACCAACUUCUGUAUCGUCUUCUACUAAUUUGUACUUCGAAUUUGCUUUGUCUAAUAGUUUCAGGCUUUCAGCUGGAAUGCCAAGCUUCAUCAAUUAUUGCUUAUGUUGGAUAUUGUUGCCUAUAAAUUACAUAAAACUAUGCAGAAACCAUUAGGCUUACAAAGUCAUUUUUCCUACUUUACUUACAAUUACCUAGCAUAAAUGAUGUACAAAAUGUCGGUCAAUUCAAUGUAAUUGACAACGCUUAUCAUUUCACA